CGAAACUCAAAGGAAUUGACGGGGGCCUGCACAAGCGGUGGAGCAUGUGGUUUAAUUCGAUACAACGCGCAAAACCUUAC
rnacentral:rRNA from 1 species